rnacentral:lncRNA from 1 species
AGUUGAUCUGGAAGUAUUACGUUUUGGAGCGCUAAAUAAGGGCAAUUGUACGGACCAAGGCGAUGUAUGGUUUACGUGAGUUUACGUUACUUGAAGUAGGCUACCCACCUCUCACCCGCAGACACAAACAAACAUCAUGAACACGUAGCCCCAGCUUCACCAUCUAGUUAGCUAGCUAGUCAACUAGCAAGCUAGGCUGUUGGUUUAUAAAAACCUAAACAAGUUACGAAUGUAUCUAGCCAGGCUAAUGUUGCUUGCUAGCUAACCAUGAGCUAUGCAGUCGGUUAGAGGCGUUUUCAAUUUAAAAACCUUGAUUCGUCAGUUGGUCCAGAUCAUCACGGCCCUGGUGAGUGACGUGAAGCUUGACAGGCGUUUCUAGUUCUGUAUGAUAGCCACGUUAGCACUAAUGCAUAUCAUUUUUGGGGUUGUAAAUACAGGCGACUAUAUUGAUACAAGUCACCUUGUCUUAGAGAUUACACAGUUAUACACAACAUCGCCAGGGUGAACCUCCAUGGUUAUCACAACAUCAGGCCAGGGUGAACCUCCCCGGUUACCACAACUCAGGCCAGGUGACCUCCAUGGUAUCACAACAUCAGGCUAGGGUGAGCCUCCAUGGUUAUCACAACAGGGCCAGGGUGAGCCUCCAUGGUUAUCACAACAGGGCCAGGAUGAGCCUACACCAAACAGUCCUUAUUUGAAGUGACUCUAAUAUCCACAAUGAUAAAAAUGAAUUGUGGAUAAACGUUGGAACCGUUUGCGUGUUUCACCAGUGUUUUCUGGUAUUAUGACUCUGUGAUAGACUAUAACAGUGCUGUGUUUUGGUAGUGAGGAGGAGGACAGGAGUUGGCAGUAGCAGUCAGAGCCUCUUUAUGCAGCAGAGGAGACAGGAGGACGGAGGACGAGACACCCAGGACAGGAGCGCAGCGCCAAAACACCGCAAAGAGGAGCGGAUGGAGAGGCCCGAGCGGAUGGAGAGGCCCGAGCGGGCCGAGCGGAUGGAGCGGCCGAGCGGUGAGCGGCCCGAGCGGAUGGAGCGGCCGAGCGGAUGGAGAGCCCGAGGGGAUGGAGACUGAGGAGAGACACAGGAGUAUUCCUGUCAACUCCAGCAGAAGCUCCCCAGUGAGGACCAUGAAGAGUACCCUCUAACAGGAGACGACUUUCCCAGCUCUCCUGGGGGCUGCAGCACCCACACUGAGGUACACACACACACACCCCGAGGUGAAGGUGUAUCCAGCUGUGUUAUCAUUAUGUUUAUUACACUGUAAAGCCCCCCCCCACUCCCCGGCCCAGGUCUCUUUGUUGUGAUGUGCAGUACCAGUCAACAGUUGGGACACCUACUCAUUCCAGGGGUUGUCUUUAUUGUACUAUUUUCU